rnacentral:misc_RNA from 1 species
GAAAUGCGAUAAGUAAUGUGAAUUGCAGAAUUCAGUGAAUCAUCGAAUCUUUGAACGCACAUUGCGCCCGCCAGUAUUCUGGCGGGCAUGCCUGUUCGAGCGUCAUUUCAACCAUCAAGCCCCGCGCUUGUGUUGGGGACCUGCGGCUGCCGCAGGCCCUGAAAACCAGUGGCGGGCUCGCUGUCACACCGAGCGUAGUAGAUUUCUCAUCUCGCUCAGGGCGUGCUGCGGGUUCCGGACGUAAAAAAGCCUUAUUUUACCCAAGGUUGACCUCGGAUCAGGUAGGAAGACCCGCUGAACUUAAGC